rnacentral:rRNA from 1 species
UACAGAGGUCUCGAGCGUUGUUCGGAUUCAUUGGGCGUAAAGCGCACGUAGGCGGAUUGUUAAGUCAGGGGUGAAAUCCUGGAGCUCAACUCCAGAACUGCCUUUGAUACUGGCGAUCUCGAGUCCGGGAGAGGUGAGUGGAACUGCGAGUGUAGAGGUGAAAUUCGUAGAUAUUCGCAAGAACACCAGUGGCGAAGGCGGCUCACUGGCCCGGUACUGACGCUCAGGCGCGACAGCGUGGGGAUCAAACAGG